rnacentral:lncRNA from 1 species
GCUCAAUCUGGAAUGCGCGGGUAGAGUUCACUCUUUAGCCGUCGGAUUGGUCCAUGAUGUGUAAACUCCACCCUCCAGCACACCAGCUGAAUGAAAUCAAGAGCACCUAAUCGCAAUUGGGAAAUUGAACCAAUUGAAAUUAAGUUCAUUGGUUGACACCUGUACAUAAUUAGCCAUUCAGGUAAGAAGGGUCUGGGAUUCCUUUAUGAGGUGCAACCAAAACAGCUGUUAGACAUUGUAACAGGGAUAUUCUGGCAGGGUGUCUGUCUAGCAUUAGUUCUGAAUACGGUUGUGGUUUUGAUCACUAAAAUGGCUGUGACUUUUGGACUCUCUUUGAGUGUUUCUUGGAUUUGUUGCCUGCUAAUUGGUGAGAUAACGUGUUUUACCCUUCAAGGUGCUUAUGGGCAUCCUACCUCUACUGUAGCCCAAGUGAGUGUGGUGUCUGUUCCAAAUGCUAAAGCUACUGGCCACAAUAGCUCGGCAAAUGUGACGUCGGGUCGAAAUGCCUCGGCAGAAGCCACCGGCCCCCGCGCCUCAGCAGAAGCCACCGGCCCCCGCGCCUCAGCAGAAGCCACCGGCCCCCGCGCCUCAGCAGAAGCCACCGGCCCCCGCGCCUCAGCAGAAGCCACCGGCCCCCGCGCCUCAGCAGAAGCCACCGGCCCCCGCGCCUCAGCAGAAGCCACCGGCCCCCGCGCCUCAGCAGAAGCCACCGGCCCCCGCGCCUCAGCAGAAGCCACCGGCCCCCGCGCCUCAGCAGAAGCCACCGGCCCCCGCGCCUCAGCAGAAGCCACCGGCCCCCGCGCCUCAGCAGAAGCGACCGGCCUUGAACCGACGGCCCGACCCCUCACCAAGCUAGAUAGGGAGAUCAUAAUUUGGUUUGCCCAACUCCUUAAUCGUCUGUCCCCUGUUACUGUGACUCCUUUUGAAGCCAAGGUAACUGAGGGGAAAGAUGUCAAUUUUAGUCGUAUGGUGAUAAAAACAAUUCAUAACAUUGUAUCGUCCACCCCUGUAAACAAUUUGCAUGACGAUGUACAAGUGAAGGAGAUCCUCAUUUCAAACAAACACAUUAGUUGGCACAUUUCCCCACCUCAGUUACCUUUAACGUUUUCAAAAGGAGGCACAGUAACAUGGGAAAGACAAUUAAGGAGUUGGGCAAUCCAAAUUCUGAUCUCCCUAGUUGAGUGGUCGGGCCGUCUGUUCAAGGCCUGUUGCUCCUGCUGAGGCGCCGGGGCCUGUCGCUCCUGCUGAGGCGCCGGGGCCUGUCGCUCCUGCUGAGGCGCCGGGGAUAGGAUCCAGUUGGUUCAGGUCUACUGUAGGCAGGAUGCCCAUGAGCGUUACCUAGGAAACAAAGAAAACAUUGUGGUAAAAUGCCAUUCUUAAGCAAUCGGGACUAGACUUCUGUGAUUUGACCUGAAUUAGUGUAAACCAAAACGCACCUUUUAAGUGUAAAACAAGUUAUCCCUCCAAUUAGCAGGCAACAAAUCCAAGAAACACUACAAAACAGUCAGACAGUUAAACAUAAAUAACCAGUGAACACUUUAAGACAUGGUAAACAAACCAGAUGAACACAUUGAAAAACUAACCUCAAAGAGAGUCCAAAAGUCACAGCCAUUUUAGUGAUCAAAACACACAACAAAACCGUUGUUUGCUGUUUUGGUUGCACCUCAUAACGGAAUUCCAGACCUUUCUAACCUGGCUGGCUAAUCUGUCAGCCAAUAAACUUCAUUUCCAUUGGUUCAAUUUCCCAAUUGCGAUUAGGUACUCCGGAUGUCAUACAGCUGGUGUGCACUGGUGUACUGGAGGGUGGAGUUUGCACAUCAUGGACCAAUCCGAUGGUUUUAAAGAAUGAACUCUACCCAUCCAUUCUGGACUGUGCCAAUUGUUUUUUAACAGGAGUCGUCCGUUGACGUAUGGUGAACUCAGCAACGUUUUAAAGAAAAACAGAGAAUUGAUGAAUGCAUAUUCAAUUUCAUACAUAUUUC